UACGUAGGGUGCGAGCGUUGUCCGGAAUUACUGGGCGUAAAGAGCUCGUAGGUGGUUUGUCACGUCGUCUGUGAAAUUCCGGGGCUUAACCUCGGGCGUGCAGGCGAUACGGGCAAUACUUGAGUGCUGUAGGGGAGACUGGAAUUCCUGGUGUAGCGGUGAAAUGCGCAGAUAUCAGGAGGAACACCAAUGGCGAAGGCAGGUCUCUGGGCAGUAACUGACGCUGAGGAGCGAAAGCAUGGGUAGCGAACAGGGAUUAGA
rnacentral:rRNA from 1 species